AUUGUACUUUAAUCUAAUACCACAACUAAAAUAGGGUUGAUAAAUAUGGAAAGUAUACUUGAAAUCCAGUUAAGAAAAUUGAUAAUGGGUAAACACCUAAUUCAGCUAACCUAAUAAUAGGGUCAAAGAUGGUGCCAGCAGACGCGGUCACACCAUCCCUAGUCAUAGUUAUAAUCACUUUCUUAUUUUCUUUUACGUAACUAAAAAUUAUAUAUAAGGUGAAAUUUCUUAUAAAAAUAUUCCUAAAUUGCGAUUUUAUAUAUAUAUACCAAAUUUAGAUAAAAAACUAGGAUUAGAUACCCUAUUAUUCUAACAACAACAUUAAUAAGAAAAAGUACUAAGGCUCUAUUAGCUGAAACUUAAACAUUAUGGCGGUCUUUUAAACAGUUAGGGGAACUUACCACAGAAUUGAUAUUCACCAAGAUUUAUUACAGUUAUUUAAAGUUGGUAUACCGUCGUCUUUAGAUUAAACCUUUAGGUUUAAUCACAAAUAUUGUACAAUAUGUAAGGCAGAUCCUAGUGCCGCCAAUAUAACUGAGCUAAGGCGAGUUACAUAUAAUAACUAUUUUCGGAUUUUCAUGCGUCAAGGCUGCCUUGAAGUAGGACUUAAAAGUAAUAAUUAAAUUUAAAUAGAUUAUGAAUAUUUUUUAUUAAAAGGUGUACAAAUCGCCCGUCACUCUCGUUGAAAAAUGAGAUAAGUCGUAACAUAGUAGGGGUAAUGGAAACUGCCCCUAAAGUAGAGUUCUACCAGUUAAGUUUAAAAUACUUUUCCCAAGAAGCAAAGAAGUUUUAUAUUACU
rnacentral:rRNA from 1 species